rnacentral:lncRNA from 1 species
CCUUCCCAUGCCUCUCAGUGAUACUAAAAUAGCACGGAGAGAAAUUCCGGCUGCCUCAUCGGAACUCCAGCUCCACAUCAGCAAAGCUGGGGAAGGGGAGCAUCUGGGUCCCUGUGUGGGAAGUGUGGGUGCUGGUGGCUGCAGGCACAGUGCCAGCUGCAGACUCUCCGGCCCAGGAUGGAGGCUGAGAGUCCCGCUUCUCGUCCACAAGUGUGCAAGGGAGCGUGUGCACGCAGGAAGGAGAUCCAAGCUAGCAGAAGAUGGUGGCCUCUUUCAAAAUCUAAAUCAGUGCAAUUAUGACUUCAGUGGCUAAAUAAGCCUUUCCGAUCAUCACAGGGACAAGCUCAAGAUGCUGGAUCCAGGUUGUUCACCCAAACCGAGCGCCAGUUACAUCCUCAGGCUCGUUUCUCAGCCUCCCUCCCUCAGGAGCAGUCACAUCACAUGACAUUGUGUAGCUUACAGACCAUCUUCAAUCAAUUCUCCUUAACGAAUCAUUUUGCCUGAUUCUUCUGGAAGCCUCAGCUGCCAUAGACAGUUCUUUUAUUGUUUGGUAACCCCAUGGGUAGCAAUAAAGUUGAGAUGAAAACACAUU